rnacentral:rRNA from 1 species
GCUGGCGGCAGGCCUCAUACAUGCAAGUCGAACGAGAAAGUAUCUUCGGAUACGAGUACAGUGGCGGACGGGUGAGUAACACAUAGGAAUCUACCCAAUGGAGGGGGAUAGCUCGAGGAAACUCGAAUUAAUACCGCAUAAUCUCCACGGAGUAAAGAGGGCUUCGGCUCUUGCCAUCGGAUGAGCCUAUGCAGGAUUAGCUUGUUGGUGAGGUAAAAGCUCACCAAGGCAACGAUCCUUAGCUGGUUUGAGAGGAUGACCAGCCACAUCGGG